UUCGAAAGGGCUCUUAAGCACUCGGGUUUAACCCCUAGGAAACCCUUCACUCUAACACCCUAUGCCUCGGUUUUAUUUUCAGAAGACAAAAGAGACUGAGGUGUGCUCCUUCAGCCGGUAGGGUGCAGAGGAAGUGGUGGGUCCUUUCCUUGCACCUUCAGAACUAGAAUUACCGUUAUUUUCUUACUUCCUCAACAAAACACCAGAGUAUGUCAAGGAGAUGUCACAUACCCUGAUGUUCUGGGAUACUGAUCUCUCUCCAGCCAUUGAAACUUUCACCAUUGCCUUGGGAUCCAGCAGGAAGAAGCACUGCCUCCUCUUCACCAGGACAUCACAAACCCUGGUUCUUCCCAUCAUAGUCUCCUUAUAGCACAGCUAAGACCAGGGUUAUAUAACAAUAUUAAAAAGGAAGAGCAAUACAGAGUAAACUGCAGGUAUGACAUGGCUACUCUCAAAGCCCUUAUGGACUACAGGCCUGCCUUAUUGUUGAGCUUGCAGCCAGGGUCUAUGUGGCUAAUGACAGCCCCCCUCUCCAUCAAGAGUUCCCCUGACCCUGUCUUGAGCAUUCAGGCUCAACCACUCAGAGAAGAAAACAACUCUCCUUACCCAGUUUAAGGUGCAUUUUCAAAGUCCCACCCCCUGUCCCAGUUGCUGCCUUUCCAUAGGAUGACUGACCAUGGGAAUACCUACUCCUUUAGAGGAAACCCCACCUUCCAUCCUGAGGAGUGUGACCUUAACCUUUGACCCAACUGGACUAUCACCUUCAUAACAUAAGAGUCCAAACCCAGCACAUUUCUCACAAAGACUGAGUUAAUCUUUAUAAAUAGGUCUAGGUAGAGCCUCACCAAAGCCAGUCCAGUCCCUUUGCCUAAUUAUUUCUCCAGUAAGCAGUAAGGAUUAUGCCUGUCCUUGUUUGCCUGUAUCUUUUAGAGCUCAGCUUUUGUUCUUCUAAGAGCAAGGGCUGAAACAAGGACAUUCGCAUCUCCACAGAAACAACACAUAUGUGGUCUACAUCCACAGAGAGAAAAGGAACAGUUUUUCUCUUCUGCAUCAAUGUCUGCGGAAGCAAUGCUCCUGCUCCACACACAAAGAUUUGCAUAUCCAAAUGGAGCACUCUGCUUCACAAACUAAAGCAUCUACACUCAAGUUAUAGUUUUCCAAGAGUAAUAAAUAUAUACUUGCUUUAACAUGAAUAAACAAUCCAUGUAGUUUUUCCAGAGCAGUCUGCCUCUGAAGAAAUGUUCAAGUCUUCUCUUUCAUCAGGACAGAAAUCACCAAUGGUUUAAGAAAGCCUUUCUACCUUCUACUAACUCUUAGGAUUUUCAGUUAGCCCCCAUUACAUUUAGAAGAAUUUUUAAUGUGUAUUUCUAUGUGGAAAUAUAAGUGCAUGUAUUGUUUUUA